rnacentral:rRNA from 1 species
CUCGUAGGCGGUUCGUCGCGUCCAGUGUGAAAGUCCAUCGCCUAACGGUGGAUCUGCGCCGGGUACGGGCGGGCUGGAGUGCGGUAGGGGAGACUGGAAUUCCCGGUGUAACGGUGGAAUGUGUAGAUAUCGGGAAGAACACCAAUGGCGAAGGCAGGUCUCUGGGCCGUUACUGACGCUGAGGAGCGAAAGCGUGGGGAGCGAACA